rnacentral:rRNA from 1 species
AGAGUUUGAUCAUGGCUCAGAAUCAACGCUGGCGGCGUGCCUAACACAUGCAAGUCGAACGCGAAAGUCCCGCAAGGGAUAAGUAGCGUGGCAAACGGGUGAGUAACACGUGGGUGACCUGCCUUCGAGUGGGGGAUAACGUCCCGAAAGGGACGCUAAUACCGCAUGACAUCCUGCCUUUGAACAGGUGGAGAUCAAAGCUGGGGAUCGCAAGACCUAGCGCUGGAAGAGGGGCCCGCGCCUGAUUAGCUAGUUGGUGGGGUAACGGCUCACCAAGGCAACGAUCAGUAUCCGGCCUGAGAGGGCGGACGGACACACUGGGACUGAGACACGGCCCAGACUCCUACGGGAGGCAGCAGUGGGGAAUUGUUCGCAAUGGGCGCAAGCCUGACGACGCAACGCCGCGUGGAGGAUGAAGACCUUCGGGUCGUAAACUCCUUUCGAUCGAGACGAACGGCCUCCGGGUGAACAACCCGGAGGAGUGACGGUACCGAGAGAAGAAGCCCCGGCUAACUCCGUGCCAGCAGCCGCGGUAAUACGGGGGGGGCAAGCGUUGUUCGGAAUUACUGGGCGUAAAGGGCUCGUAGGUGGCCAACUAAGUCAGACGUGAAAUCCCUCGGCUUAACCGGGGAACUGCGUCUGAUACUGGAUGGCUUGAGUUCGGGAGAGGGAUGCGGAAUUCCAGGUGUAGCGGUGAAAUGCGUAGAUAUCUGGAGGAACACCGGUGGCGAAGGCGGCAUCCUGCACCGACACUGACACUGAGGAGCGAAAGCCAGGGGAGCAAACGGGAUUAGAUACCCCGGUAGUCCUGGCCCUAAACGAUGAAUGCUUGGUGUGGCGGGUAUCGAUCCCUGCCGUGCCGAAGCUAACGCAUUAAGCAUUCCGCCUGGGGGAGUACGGUCGCAAGGCUGAAACUUAAAGGGAUUUGACGG